rnacentral:lncRNA from 1 species
AAGUACAUGCAUGCAUGCGGGUGUUGAGAGUAAAAAUCCUUUGAUGCCGAGAAGCCACACAGGCGUGGACCUGCUUCGCCAAGCAGAAAGCGGGAGAGUGACGUGAUGUCACGCAGAGCUUGGUCCUGCUGGAGAUUUGGGGAAGUCUCAAGGAAAGAAACUGGUUCCAGACGUGAGAGUUUUAUUCCAAUAUGGCUUCCAGGAUCCCAGAGGACUCGACUUGUAGAGAGCAUCACUGGAGUCAGAAGGGCCGAGGUCCAGGGGCCAAGAACACACCUUGGUGCCAGAAGAAGUUCAUAAGUCUUGAAAUGCAGCAUCUCCUGAGAUGGAGUUCCACUUUUUUGCCCAGGCUGGUCUUGAAUUCAUGGGCUCAAGUGAUCUUCUAGCCUCAGCCUCCCAAAGCUCUGGGAUUACGUGUGUGAGUCACCCUGCCCAGCCUGAUAAAUUCUGGAGGAAAAAAUUAGAAGAGAAGAUGGUAUUUCAUUUGUGGCUAAGAAUCUUUGACAACUUUCUUCUGUUUCCUCACUGCAGAGGAAUCAUCUCUCAAAGCCACUCAACUCAUGCUUGUCUCCUCUGAAACAUCAUUGGUAGGUGGAGUGGAAAGACUGCAAAUUUCAGAGUCAUCUGGGCUUCAACUUCCAGCCCACCCACACCCUGACCCCAUGACCCUGGUUAUGUUAACAUUUCCAAGCCUCGUUUUCUUUAGUCCAGAAUUGGCUAGUUGGAUGAAGCAUGCCUGAGCUGAGGCUUGAAUGCUUUUGAAAAUCAGCAAACACAACUACAGUCUCCAUGAUGUAAACCAAUCUGCUGGACUACUUCCAAUUUCAGCUCCGACACAUGAAGAGCUUGGAAGUCAUCAUUCCCAUCCUUCACAAAAAGUAAAAACCAAACAAACUGAAAAUUUGUGACUUUUCUUGGGUCCCUCAGAGAAUAAAGGUUUCAGGCAAACUGCCAGCUUGACAUCUGGAGAGAGAGGAAAAUCCAAAGAGACAUAGCCAAGAUCUGUUUACCUGAACCUGAUGACAACAGAAUGAUCAACUAGUAGAAAAACUUAAAUAAUAAUUUUGAUGACUUGCUGGAGGCAGAGUGUGAAUUUGCCUGAGAGUGAGAGACCUGGUAUUUGGUGAUUACAGCAUACAGUUUCUCUUCCAAAGAUGUUUUUGCAAACAGCAGCUAGUGUUUAUGAAGUCAUCCCGGAUUUGACAGGAUACUGUCAAGUAUUCAGCGCCUUCCACCCUCCCUCGUUCUCUCUUCAACUCAGCACCACUCCCUCCACCUCCACCUCCUCCGGACCACUACAUUUGAUGCUUCCAUUGCUUCAAGAACAGAGUCAGAGAAAAAAGACUUCAAAUGUUUGGCUUUUAAGGUGCAUUCCUGGUAUAAAUCAGAGAGAUUUUGGAGAAUACAUAUUGUAUCAGGGGCUCUGUCUGGGUGCUAUCAUUGUCCACUGUUGUGCAAAGCCCAGACUGCAUCCUCUAGGAUAAGCACCUAAGUGAGGAGGAACCCUGGGCCCCUAGGUGAUGACCAUGC